rfam:Myotis lucifugus cont2.24091, whole genome shotgun sequence.
GGCAGUUCUUGGGUGAUGCACCCCAGAAUCGGACUCCCUCCCUCUGGUUCCUGGUGCGUCACCUGAGAACUGCA